rnacentral:rRNA from 1 species
AUUCCAGCUCCAAUAGCGUAUAUUUAAGUUGUUGCAGUUAAAAAGCUCGUAGUUGGAUUUCGGGUGGGCUGCGCCGGUCUCCUAACGGUUGUACUGGCGACGCCUGCCUUGCUGCCGGGGACGGGCUCCUGCCUUUACUGUCGGGACCCGGAAUCGGCGACGUUACUUUGAGUAAAUUAGAGUGUUCAAAGCAAGCCUACGCUCUGAAUAUAAUAGCAUGGGAUAACACGACAGGACUCUGGCCUAUCGUGUUGGUCUGUAGGACCAGAGUAAUGAUUAAGAGGGACAGUCGGGGGCAUUCGUAUUCCGUUGUCAGAGGUGAAAUUCUUGGAUUUACGGAAGACGAACAUCUGCGAAAGCAUUUGCCAAGGAUGUUUUCAUCA